rnacentral:tRNA from 1 species
GGCUCUUUGGCGUUGUGGUCAAGUCGCAGGUUUGGUACCCCGUAGACCCGGGUUCGAGUCCAGGUGGGGUGA